AUCAGCACGCUGCGGUGAAUACGUUCCCGGGCCUUGUACACACCGCCCGUCACACCAUGGGAGUUGGUUCUACCCGAAGGCGUUUCGCCGACCCGCGAGGGGGGCAGGCGACCACGGUAGGGUCAGCGACUGGGGUGAAGUCGUAACAAGGUAGCCGUAGGGGAACCUGCGGCUGGAUCACCUCCUUU
rnacentral:rRNA from 1 species